CAGCAGCCGCGGUAAAACGUAGGUGGCAAGCGUUGUCCGGAAUUAUUGGGCGUAAAGGGCUCGCAGGCGGUUUCUUAAGUCUGAUGUGAGAGCCCCCGGCUCAACCGGGGAGGGUCAUUGGAAACUGGGAAACUUGAGUGCAGAAGAGGAGAGUGGAAUUCCACGUGUAGCGGUGAAAUGCGUAGAGAUGUGGAGGAACACCAGUGGCGAAGGCGACUCUCUGGUCUGUAACUGACGCUGAGGAGCGAAAGCGUGGGGAGCGAACAGGAUUAGAUACCCGCGUAGUCCCUGUCUCUUAUAC
rnacentral:rRNA from 1 species